GUAAUACUCCCUCCGUCCGGAAAAGCUUGUCCAAGCUUGUUCCUCAAAUGGAUGUAUCUAGCACUAACUUGGUGCUAAAUACAUCCAUUUGAGGGACAAGUUUUUUCAGACGGAGGGAGUACCCA
rfam:Triticum urartu cultivar G1812 contig565219, whole genome shotgun sequence.